rnacentral:rRNA from 1 species
AUUGAACGCUGGCGGCAUGCCUUACACAUGCAAGUCGAACGGUAACGGGCCUUCGGGUGCCGACGAGUGGCGAACGGGUGAGUAAUGCAUCGGAACGUACCUUUCAGUGGGGGAUAACGUAGCGAAAGUUACGCUAAUACCGCAUAUUCUGUGAGCAGGAAAGCAGGGGAUCGCAAGACCUUGCGCUGAUUGAGCGGCCGAUGUCAGAUUAGCUAGUUGGUGAGGUAAAGGCUCACCAAGGCGACGAUCUGUAGCGGGUCUGAGAGGAUGAUCCGCCACACUGGAACUGAGACACGGUCCAGACUCCUACGGGAGGCAGCAGUGGGGAAUUUUGGACAAUGGGGGCAACCCUGAUCCAGCCAUGCCGCGUGAGUGAAGAAGGCCUUCGGGUUGUAAAGCUCUUUCGGCCGGGAAGAAUCGCAUGGGUUAAUACCCUGUGCGGAUGACGGUACGGCAUAAGAAGCACCGGCUAACUACGUGCCAGCAGCC